rnacentral:rRNA from 1 species
CCUGGUUGAUCCUGCCAGUAGUCAUAUGCUUGUCUCAAAGAUCAAGCCAAGCAUGUCUCAGUGCCAAAUUGACGUGAAACCGCAAAUGUCUUAUUCAAUCAGUUAUGAUUUCUUGGAUCGUACAUACAUUUACUUGGAUAACUGUGGCGAUUGUAGAGCUAACACACGCAAACAGAGAUCCGACCACAGAUGUAAGGAAUGCUUUUAUUAGAUUGAAAUCAAUCGGCGGCGGGUACGUCCCGUCCGCCGUUUACCUUGAUGACUCUGAAUAACUUWGGGCUGAUCGCACGGUCUCGUACCGGCGACGCUUCUUYCRAAUGUCUGCCUYAUCAACUGUCGAUGGUAGGCUCUGCGCCUACCAUGGUUGUAACGGGUAACGGGAAAUCAGGGUUCGAUUUCGGAGAGGGAGCCUGAGAAACGGCUACCACAUCGAAGGAAGGCAGCAGGCGCGCGAAUCUUCCGAUGCCGAAUCCGCGAGGAGGUCACGAAAAAUAACGAUAUGUGCUCAUCCGAGGCACCGCAAUCGGAAUGAGUACACUUCGAAUCCUUCCACCAGGAUCCACCUGGGACAAGUCUGGUGCCAGCAGCUGCGGUGAUUUCACCUCUGAUAGCGUAUACUGAAGCUGUUGCGGUUGAAAAGCUCGAAGGUGAAACUGUGUCCCACGCUGUCGGUUUACCACUCGCGUUAUCGAACUGGCAUGAUUGUGGGACAUACGACCACUGGGCUUAGAUCUUCGUGGCGGCUCAACUAAUAUCCUAUCGCGAUAUUCUUUACUGAGUGUCGAGGUGGGUAGCUACGUUCACUCUUAACAAAUCAGAGUGCUCAAAGCAGGCUAUUUUUGCGUAUAUACUGUAUGCAUGGAAUGAUGGAAUAGGACCUUGUAGCUAUUUUAAUGGUUUUCGGAACCCCGAGGUUGUGAUUGAUAGGGACAGAUAGCGGCAUUYAUAUUGCGACGUCAGAGUCGAAAUUCAUGGAUCGUCACAUGACGGACAGAAGCCAAAGCAUUUGCCAAAAAUGUUUUUUUUUAGUCGAGAACAAGAGUUAGAUUUCCAAAGGCGAUCAGAUACCUUCCUAGUCCUAACCAUAGACGAUGCCGGCUGACGAUUCGCCGAAGUUGCUCCGAUGACUCGGCGAAUAGUUAUAGGGAAACCAAAGCCUUUGGGAUUCUGGGGGAAGUAUGGUUGCAAAGCAGAAACCUAGAGGAAUURACGAAAGGGCACCACCAGGAGUGAAGCCUGCGGCUUAAUUUGACUCAACAUGGGAAACAUCACCAGGUCCGGACACCGGAAAUAUGGACAGAUUGAGAGCUCUCUUUUGA